GAGGGUACAGCUCAGGGGUAGAGCGCAUGCUUAACAUGAAGGAGGUCCUGGGUGCAAUCCCCAGUACCUCCA
rnacentral:tRNA from 1 species